CCUACGGGAGACAGCAGUGAGGAAUAUUGGUCAAUGGGCGAGAGCCUGAACCAGCCAAGUCGCGUGAGGGAGUACUGCCCUAUGGGUUGUAAACCUCUUUUGUCGGGGAGCAAAAGCCGGACGUGUCCGGCUGUGAGAGUACCCGAAGAAAAAGCAUCGGCUAACUUCGUGCCAGCAGCCGCGGUAAUUCGGAGGAUGCGAGCGUUAUCCGGAUUUAUUGGGGUUAAAGGGUGCGCAGGCGGAUUUUUAAGUCAGCGGUCAAAUCGUGGGGCUCAACCCCAUCCAGCCGUUGAAACUGGGGAUCUAGAGUGUGCGAGAGGUAUGCGGAAUGCGUGGUGUAGCGGUGAAAUGCAUAGAUAUCACGCAGAACCCCGAUUGCGAAGGCAGCAUACCGGUGCACAACUGACGCUCAGGCACGAAAGCGUGGGUAUCGAACAGGAUUAGAUACCCUUGUAGUC
rnacentral:rRNA from 1 species